AACCAUGAUUACCUGUACAAGGGGUUCCUCAAAGUAUGACAUGCAUUCAAAUUUCUUAUUUGGAAAGAACAGCGUGAUUGGUCCGAAAAAUGUCUUGCUUGACUCUUGGGCGAAAAUCUCAAAUGUAUUGCGGAAAAUUUUGCCCCAGUGUAGGCUUAUUUUACAAAAUCCCUCCAAUGAAAACUUGCCCCAGUGUGGGCACAUUUAAUUGCAAAAAUCUCUCAAAUGAAAAUUUGCCCCUGUGUGGGCCCAUUUGAUUGCAAAAAAUUUGUUCAGAUGAUUCCCCAUUUAUUUGAACAAAGAGAAAUCGCACCUUCCAAAAUUUAGAAAGUAAUCAUUUGAACGUUGAAUGCAGAAAUUUCAUGAUGAAUUCCUCGAAGUAACACCAAAUUCAAGAAAAUUUCUUCCUCACUUCUAGCAUUGGCGUUUAGGGUAACGGGUCACCACUUCUGAUUGGCUCAUCUUUCAGGACCAAUCAAGUGACUUUAUUAUUUUUUUGAAAUGGCUAAGGAAAUGGGAGGUCAGAAUUUGUUUGGCUUUUGUGCCCAAAAUUGUAAUGCAUUCAACAUCACAUCUUAGUGAAAGCAAAGAGUUUGUCACCCUUAUUUUUCAAGAAAACUUGGUCAACAUACAAGCUUUCUAGGCUUGUAACGUAUGGACAGAAUUGAUAGCUAAACAUGUGGAAACGGGUUAUACCCUUAUGAUCACAAAUGAUUUGAUGAAUUUCUUAUGAGUAUGAUCCUCACUUUGGAUUGUCAUGAAAGAAUAAGUCAACGAUGGACUUUAUUAGCUUGUAAUGUGGCUUGAAAACGAUAGUUUAAGACCUUCAAGGAUAUUGCACCAUAGAUUGCUUUUUUCCAAAAUUGCCCAUAUUUUGAACUCAAAAGAUUUCAGACUUUGUUUGGAUUUUCUCAUCAUUCCCCAGGGACCUCAGUGUCGAAUUUUUCUGCAUUUUCCUUUCUUGCUUCUUUUCUUCUUUUUCCUUUUCUUUUUCGAACUGAUGGGCUUUCACAUGGUGAGUAGCGUCAAUCCCAUAUCCAGGCAAUUCAGAAAUACAGCUAAAUUUUCCGGCAUCAGAAAUUUUCUUGACAAGGCCAUUGCAAAGAACAGAAGUCAGGACUUUCGGCUUUUGUAAUGGGGUCUGGUGUUGUUUAAAAAAGUUAAGGCUUGAAGGCAGAUUUUAAAAAUGGUUUGAAGAAUCUGAGAUCGCAUUGUUGCCAACCCUAUUUUAGGGCUAAACCAGAAUUUGCCCCAGUUUAUGCUCAAUUGAGGCUCUCUUUCAUUUUGUUUUUCCCUCGGCCUUUUGCCAUUCCUUUGAAAUUUUCAAAAAUUUGCCCCAGUUUAUUUUGAACUGAGGUUCUCUUUUCUUUUGCUUUUGAUUUUGCGACUUUUCACUUUUUCACUUCUUGAAUUUUCCCUUUCUUUUGCAAACUUGCCCCAGUGUGGGGUUUGCGAUUCUCAGGGGUUGCCAAACGAAGUAUUUUUAUUCUGAAGGCUCAAAAGGGAUAACUAGGGAUAGAAUGCUUGAUCGGAAAAGAAGAGGCCUGACUUUAAAUCCGUUCCUUACAAUAACUCUGAAAGGAAACUUUCGUUAAUGCGAAAUUUUUUUUUUGCAUGUAUCUGAAUUACUGACUAAGGAAGACCCUUGUUCAUCCAUAUUUGUGAAACAUAGAGGGUCCGCCAGACAACUUUUCUUUCUUUUCUUUUCACUCUUCUUUUUCUCACAAUUGAAGCUCAGGUAGAAUCAAAUUUCCCCAAUUUGCGGUUCCCCUUUUGAGUUUUAGUUUUUUUUUUUUUUUUUUUUUUUUUUUUUUUUUGGAAAAAUCUCCGAUCUCCCUCCCCAAUGUGGGGUGCGAUCAUAGGUGCUCUCGAAAAGAAUCACCAAUUUUUAGCUCAAAUGAGGAUGCAAUGGGUAAAUUGUGUUUAGAUUGUAGAAACGAUGGCCAAAGUAUCAUUCUUACACUCCAUGACAACCAAAGUAACGAAUUGCUCAUUGAAAAUUCAUUCCCCUUCUUGGAUAUUUGAAAAUUUUCCAAUAUAGGGUAGUGAUCAUUAGGGCUCUUAUUUGAAACGAAAUUAUUCUUUCAAAGGCUCAAAU
rnacentral:lncRNA from 1 species